rnacentral:rRNA from 2 species
GACGAACCGUCCAAACGUUAUUCGGAUUUACUGGGCUUAAAGGGUGCGUAGGCGGCCCGGAAAGUUGGGUGUGAAAGCCCUCGGCUUAACCGAGGAACUGCGCCCAAAACUACCGGGCUUGAGGGAGAUAGAGGUGAGCGGAACUUAGGGUGGAGCGGUGAAAUGCGUUGAUAUCCUAAGGAACACCUGUGGCGAAAGCGGCUCACUGGGUCUCUUCUGACGCUGAGGCACGAAAGCCAGGGGAGCGAACGGG